rnacentral:rRNA from 1 species
AUCAACCGAGAUUCCCCCAGUAGCGGCGAGCGAACGGGGAGGAGCCCAGAGUCUGAAUCAGCGCGUGUGUUAGUGGAACGGUCUGGAAAGUCCGGCGGUACAGGGUGAUAGCCCCGUACACUAAAAUGCACACGUUGUGAACUCGAAGAGUAGGGCGGGACACGUGGUAUCCUGUCUGAAUAUGGGGGGACCAUCCUCCAAGGCUAAAUACUCCUGACUGACCGAUAGUGAACCAGUACCGUGAGGGAAAGGCGAAAAGAACCCCGGCGAGGGGAGUGAAAAAGAACCUGAAACCGUGUACGUACAAGCAGUGGGAGCCUACUUGUUAGGUGACUGCGUACCUUUUGUAUAAUGGGUCAGCGACUUAUAUUCUGUAGCAAGGUUAACCGUAUAGGGGAGCCGCAGGGAAACCGAGUCUUAACUGGGCGUUAAGUUGCAGGGUAUAGACCCGAAACCCGGUGAUCUAGCCAUGGGCAGGUUGAAGGUUGGGUAACACUAACUGGAGGACCGAACCGACUAAUGUUGAAAAAUUAGCGGAUGACUUGUGGCUGGGGGUGAAAGGCCAAUCAAACCGGGAGAUAGCUGGUUCUCCCCGAAAGCU